CAUAACGUCGCAAGACCAAAGAGGGGGACCUUCGGGCCUCUUGCCAUCGGAUGUGCCCAGAUGGGAUUAGCUAGUAGGUGGGGUAACGGCUCACCUAGGCGACGAUCCCUAGCUGGUCUGAGAGGAUGACCAGCCACACUGGAACUGAGACACGGUCCAGACUCCUACGGGAGGCAGCAGUGGGGAAUAUUGCACAAUGGGCGCAAGCCUGAUGCAGCCAUGCCGCGUGUAUGAAGAAGGCCUUCGGGUUGUAAAGUACUUUCAGCGGGGAGGAAGGGAGUAAAGUUAAUACCUUUACUCAUUGACGUUACCCGCAGAAGAAGCACCGGCUAACUCCGUGCCAGCAGCCGCGGUAAUACGGAGGGUGCAAGCGUUAAUCGGAAUUACUGGGCGUAAAGCGCACGCAGGCGGUUUGUUAAGUCAGAUGUGAAAUCCCCGGGCUCAACCUGGGAACUGCAUCUGAUACUGGCAAGCUUGAGUCUCGUAGAGGGGGGUAGAAUUCCAGGUGUAGCGGUGAAAUGCGUAGAGAUCUGGAGGAAUACCGGUGGCGAAGGCGGCCCCCUGGACGAAGACUGACGCUCAGGUGCGAAAGCGUGGGGAGCAAACAGGAUU
rnacentral:rRNA from 1 species